rnacentral:rRNA from 1 species
GGUCUUGACAUCCCGGACGGACCCUUACGGAAACUAAGGGGGUGGCUUCCAUCUGGAAGAAUCUGGAGACAGGUGCUGCAUGGCUGUCGUCAGCUCGUGUCGUGAGAUGUUGGGUUAAGUCCCGCAACGAGCGCAACCCUUGCCUUUAGUUGCCAGCAGUUCGGCUGGGCACUCUAAAGGGACUGCCGGUGUUAAACCGGAGGAAGGUGGGGAUGACGUCAAGUCCUCAUGGCCUUUAUGACCAGGGCUACACACGUACUACAAUGGCCGAUACAAAGGGCAGCGACACUGCGAGGUGAAGCCAAUCCCGUAAAAUCGGUCUCAGUCCGGAUUGGAGUCUGCAACUCGACUCCAUGAAGUUGGAAUCGCUAGUAAUCGUGGAUCAGCAUGCCACGGUGAAUACGUUCCCGGGCCUU